rnacentral:rRNA from 1 species
AGAGUUUGAUCCUGGCUCAGGAUAAACGCUGGCGGCGUGCCUAACACAUGCAAGUCGAACGAAGAGGCGUCUUCGGACGCACUUCAGUGGCGAAUGGGUGAGUAACACGUAGGAACCUGCCCCGAAGCGCGGGAUAACGGUCCGAAAGGACGGCUAAUACCGCAUGAGGUCGGGAGACGAAAGCUUCGCGCGAGCGAGGCGCUUUGGGAGGGGCCUGCGGCCCAUCAGUUAGUUGGUAGGGUAACGGCCUACCAAGGCGACGACGGGUAGGGGGCCUGAGAGGGUGACCCCCCACACUGGCACUGACACACGGGCCAGACUCCUACGGGAGGCAGCAGUGAGGAAUAUUGCACAAUGGGCGCAAGCCUGAUGCAGCAACGCCGCGUGCGCGAUGAAGGCCUUCGGGUCGUAAAGCGCUUUUGAGGGAGACGAGCGAGGACGGUAUCUCUCGAAUAAGGUUCGGCUAACUACGUGCCAGCAGCCGCGGUAAAACGUAGGAACCGAGCGUUAUCCGGAUUCACUGGGUGUAAAGCGCGAGCAGGCGGCUUCGUAAGUGGGACGUGAAAUGCCCUGGCUUAACUGGGGGAGGUCGUUCCAUACUGCGGGGCUAGAGGGCAGGAGAGGGCGGUGGAAUUCCCGGUGUAGUGGCGAAAUGCGUAGAUAUCGGGAGGAACACCAGUGGCGAAAGCGGCCGCCUGGCCUGCACCUGACGCUCAGACGCGAAAGCUAGGGGAGCGAACGGGAUUAGAAACCCCGGUAGUCCUAGCCAUAAACGAUGGAUGCUAGGUGUCGGUGGUCUUGACCCCAUCGGUGCCGAAGCCAACGCGUUAAGCAUCCCACCUGGGGACUACGGCCGCAAGGUUAAAACUCAAAGGAAUUGACGGGGGCCCGCACAAGCAGCGGAGCGUGUGGUUUAAUUCGAUCUACGCGAAGAACCUUACCCGGGUUUGACAUGUGGGUGGUAGUGAAGCGAAAGCGGAACGACCCUUCGGGGAGCGCACACAGGUGCUGCAUGGCUGUCGUCAGCUCGUGCCGUGAGGUGUUAGGUUAAGUCCUGUAACGAGCGCAACCCCUAUCGUCAGUUACACGUGUCUGGCGAGACUGCCGGUCAUAAACCGGAGGAAGGCGGGGAUGACGUCAAGUCAGCAUGGCCUUUAUAUCCGGGGCUACACACACGCUACAAUGGCCGGUACAACAGGUUGCCAAGCCGCGAGGCGGAGCCAAUCCUGAAAAGCCGGUCUCAGUUCGGAUUGCAGGCUGCAACCCGCCUGCAUGAAGUCGGAGUUGCUAGUAACCGCGCGUCAGCCAUAGUGCGGUGAAUACGUUCCCGGGCCUUGUACACACCGCCCGUCACGUCAUGGGAGCUGGUAACACCUGAAGCCGGUGAGCCAACCGCAAGGGGGCAGCCGUCGAAGGUGGGACUGGUGACUGGGACGAAGUCGUAACAAGGUA